CACCACCCAAGUUGGUGAGAGUGGUUAAUAUGAAGUGAGGGCUGCAGCUUCACCCCUGACCUGUGAAUUCUCUCCUGCUACGGGGAUUGAGCUCUGGUCCCUCAGGCACUACAAGAAGGUGGUUUCAGCCUCAUUUUUCACUGGUAGUGACUGGAAUGACCAAUCUGCUGCCUGCUGAGGAGCAAAAGCUUCCAUUUGUUAGCUCAGCCCCUGUGAGGCAGGCUGAGGUGUUUGCUUGCAGCACGUGUCCUCCCCAUGAGCAAGAUGUGAGGAGCUGAACUAAUUUGGGAUCGUGGAGGUGUUGACUGCAGACUGCAACUUGUAAUCUCCUUGGCUCCUGCUCUCUUGUGUCUGAGGCCAGAGUUCUCAGGGCUCUGGGGGUUUACCUGGCAACCAAACCUCUGC
rnacentral:lncRNA from 1 species